ensembl:lncRNA novel transcript
GAGAGAAGAACCUGCAGUAGCUGUUUAAGUGUGCGGUGCUGGCAGAGUACCUCCCUGAAGGUGUCCUGGGGAAAGUGUGGUGUCAGCACAGCGGCAGGUCACCGUUCAGGAAGGACCCUUGUACCGCACGGAGGGCUCCCACAUCACUAUCUGGUGCAAUGUGAGUGGCUACCAGGGACCUUCUGAACAGAAUUUCCAGUGGUCCAUUUACCUGCCUUCGUCGCCAGAGCGAGAGGUGCAGAUCGUCAGCACCAUGGACUCUUCCUUC